rnacentral:lncRNA from 1 species
GAAGAUGUUGGUCAUUCUGGUGAAGAAAGCAUUGGACUUGAGUGGGAAAAUGAUUAUGAAGAUGCUGAGAAUGCAGAGGAGGCGGAAGAAGCAGAACAAGACACUGAUGACGCUCCUUCACCAAAUGAUCCACCAACUAGAGAAACGAUAGCAACGACGGGAAGGGUGAGAAAACCACCAAUCUGGUCUGCAGAUUAUGUCACAGGAGAAG